rnacentral:rRNA from 1 species
UACGAAGGGGGCUAGCGUUGUUCGGAAUUACUGGGCGUAAAGCGCACGUAGGCGGACAUUUAAGUCAGGGGUGAAAUCCCAGAGCUCAACUCUGGAACUGCCUUUGAUACUGGAUGUCUUGAGUAUGGAAGAGGUGAGUGGAAUUCCGAGUGUAGAGGUGAAAUUCGUAGAUAUUCGGAGGAACACCAGUGGCGAAGGCGGCUCACUGGUCCAUUACUGACGCUGAGGUGCGAAAGCGUGGGGAGCAAACAGG